AUCUGCUUUUGAUCUUCUUCACACCAUCCUCAUCCUAACAAAACUCUAGUUCCAUCACGAUGCUGCUGAAACACGUCUUCGUCCUCCUUGUCGUCACUGUCGCCGUCACUAGCGCCUACAGACUGUCCAACUACAAUAAUAGGUUUGGUCUUUAUGGGUACGGCUACGACAUUGACACUCCUGACUUCCCCGACUUCGACUUCCCUUUGUACAUGUAUGGACGUCAUGCACGACGUGGUGGACAACGAUCGCAAAGCAGAUACAACAGUUGGGCGCAACUUACAAGAAUGGAAGCUUACGACCUGAUUUAAAGGAGUGGUAACAUCAUUCGUGUACGACUGGCUUUUUCCAUCCAUCGACCUGAAGAUAUCGGCCGGAAUAUAAUUUAUUGACAUGCAUAUGUAGUAUUUAUUUAGGAAAUAAAAUGGUAAACAUUU